rnacentral:rRNA from 1 species
UUGAACGCUGGCGGCAUGCCUUACACCUGCCAGUCGCACGGCAGCACGGGAGCAAUCCUGGUGGCGAGUGGCGAACGGGUGAGUAAUACAUCGGAACGUGCCCAAUCGUGGGGGAUAACGCAGCGAAAGCUGUGCUAAUACCGCAUACGAUCUACGGAUGAAAGCAGGGGACCGCAAGGCCUUGCGCGAAUGGAGCGGCCGAUGGCAGAUUAGGUAGUUGGUGGGGUAAAGGCUCACCAAGCCAACGAUCUGUAGCUGGUCUGAGAGGACGACCAGCCACACUGGGACUGAGACACGGCCCAGACUCCUACGGGAGGCAGCAGUGGGGAAUUUUGGACAAUGGGCGCAAGCCUGAUCCAGCCAUGCCGCGUGCAGGAUGAAGGCCUUCGGGUUGUAAACUGCUUUUGUACAGAACGAAACGGCCUUUUCUAAUAAAGAGGGCUAAUGACGGUACCGUAAGAAUAAGCACCGGCUAACUACGUG